AACGAACGCUGGCGGCGUGCCUAACACAUGCAAGUCGUGCGAGAAAGUUCCUUCGGGAGCGAGUAAAGCGGCGCACGGGUGAGUAACACGUAGGUAACCUGCCCCCCAGUCUGGAACAACUAGAGGAAACUCUAGCUAAUGCCGGAUGAGACCACGAUCCCUUCGGGGUUGCGGCCAAAGAUGGCCUCUACUUGUAAGCUAUCGCUGAGGGAUGGGCCUGCGGGCCAUUAGCUUGUUGGUGAGGUAACGGCUCACCAAGGCUGUGAUGGCUAGCUGGUCUGAGAGGAUGACCAGCCACACUGGGACUGAGACACGGCCCAGACUCCUACGGAGCAGCAGUGGGAAUA
rnacentral:rRNA from 1 species